CGUUGUCAGCGCAAGCGUGUCCAGUCCAGUCCAGUCCACCCUAGAGGGUCCAUUGCAGUGGAUAUGCCUGCAGAAGGGGAUGAUCCAAUCGAAUGGAUGACGGUCAUAAAAAGAAUGAGGCCGUGUCAGGAAAACCUCAGCACCAUCAAAGAAGCCAUGGACAAAACCUAUGCUAGCAGAAGGUUAUGGAUUGCUGCUAGACAUCCAACGUUGGAGGAAUUUUUUGCAGAGUUUCCACGCUUUGUGGACAUGCCAUACUUGUUUGACACAGAAUUUGGAAAGAUGUUUCCUGGAAAAGCGGACAUAUUCAUCAGAAAAUGGGAGGGAACCAUCGUCCCAAAGAUACUAAAAAUGUCCACAAGUGAACCUGCUGCUGCAUUGCCACCAGUUCCUGAGGAUGAUGUUUCAUGUUACAGAGCUCUUCACAAGCUUGUCCAUCUGCUGCCCCCCACUGCAUCAGGCAGGGGCAAAGGGAACACCAAAUGCAGUGUGAAGUCAGCUUUGGGCUACCUGUUGGAUAUAAAGCCG